rnacentral:rRNA from 1 species
AUUGAACGCUGGCGGAAUGCUUUACACAUGCAAGUCGAACGGCAGCACGGACUUCGGUCUGGUGGCGAGUGGCGAACGGGUGAGUAAUGUAUCGGAACGUGCCCAGUCGUGGGGGAUAACGUAGUGAAAAUUACGCUAAUACCGCAUACGAUCUAUGGAUGAAAGCGGGGGAUCGCAAGACCUCGCGCGAUUGGAGCGGCCGAGAUCAGAUUAGGUAGUUGGUGGGGUAAAGGCCCACCAAGCCAACGAUCUGUAGCUGGUCUGAGAGGACGACCAGCCACACUGGAACUGAGACACGGUCCAGACUCCUACGGGAGGCAGCAGUGGGGAAUUUUGGACAAUGGGCGAAAGCCUGAUCCAGCCAUUCCGCGUGCAAGAUGAAGGCCCUCGGGUUGUAAACUGCUUUUGUACAGAACGAAAAGGUUUCUACUAAUACUAGGAGCUCAUGACGGUACUGUAAGAAUAAGCACCGGCUAACUACGUGCCAGCCGCCGCAGUAA